CAUAUUGGAAUUUGUGUUACUGUAGCUAGUUUCACGCUGCUGCUGUUCCAGUCGGACACAAACUGAAGUUGAAACUAUAGGCUAACGAUACGAAAGUGAUAUACGUGUUGUAGCGAAUUUGUUACAGUCUGUGGUUGUAGCCACUCUGUGGUGGCUGUAAUGGAGUCUGACAUGCUAAAAUCUGCAGAAUAUGCAUCUAUGCGCCCCGAAACUGACAUCGACAAACAACUGGGUAGAACUCUUAUAGCUGUCGGGUUGGGUGUUGCAGCCGUGAGCUUUGCAGGUCGUUAUGCAUUCCAGUUGUGGAAGCCUCUAGGACAAGUCAUCUCAGAAACGGCCAAAAAAAUUCCCACUUCUUCAUUCUCUACAUACUACAAAGGAGGGUUUGAGCAGAAGAUGACUAAGCGUGAAGCCAGCCUCAUCCUUGGUAUUAGUCCAACUUCCACAAAAGCAAAGUUGCGAGAAUCUCACAGGAGGAUCAUGGUCCUGAAUCACCCAGACAAAGCACCUGCUUGCUCUGACACAGCUAAUGUAUAACCCACUAUGCCCCUGACCUGAGCAAAGCUGUGGAAGAGGUUUGGCCAGUUUGGUUGUGCCUGACAGAAACCCAUGCGUGGAUCUCCCUAUUUGGCAGCAAAAGUCAAUGAAGCAAAAGACCUCCUUGAGUCAGGCCUACGUGGUUGACUCGGUUUUGUGCUGUCUUAAGGUUGAACUGAAUUCGAGGACCUUAUUCUUAUUUCUAAUCCCUAUUUCCAACAACUCUUUGCACCAGUUCUCAGUAGCACCAAUGACUCUUAUAGUCUGAGUGAAUACAGCUUGUAUUAAGGAUGGGGUGAUACGUACUGUUGAUGUUGAAGGGGCCAAUGUGUUAAAAACGUUUUCAUUGUGUAUCAAACUGUCUGCUUUGUUGUAUUGUACUGAGCGUAAAGGGUGAGUUCACAGGCUCAUUAAACCCAUUACAUGCUGCCUCAGAGGUUGCUAUUGAAUGAUGUAAUGUUGAAAUGGCAGAAAAGUGUUGUGCACAUCAUAUGAACUCUACUGUCCAGGCAUAUCUGUAACAUUGGCUAUAUACAGUCAUUGAUGUGUACACGCAUGCACACCUAUUUAUUUGCAUGAGGUUGAAUUUGAUAUGUAUUAGAUUAAUAAAAUGUUUUAGAUGGUCUUUAA